rnacentral:tRNA from 1 species
GGGCUCAGUUGGUAGAGUGCUUGCCUCAAAUGCACAAGGCCCUGGGUUCGAUCCCCAGCACCA